CACACUGUACAAUGGAUUUCUCGGCUCCCACAUCGAUGAAGAACGCAGCAAAGCGCGAUAGGUAGUGUGAAUUGCAGAAUACCGUGAAUCAUCGAAUUUUUGAACGCAUAUUGCGCCCGGGUUUGAGCCUGGGCAUGUCUGCCUCAGCGUCGAUUU
rnacentral:rRNA from 5 species